rnacentral:rRNA from 1 species
AUGACGUCUGUGGCAGGUGAUGCGAUGAGGAGGAAGACGGCGUGUGUCACCGGAGGUGACGGAUACAUCGCCUCGGCCCUCGUGAAGAUGCUGCUGCAAAAGGGAUACACCGUCAAGACGACAAUCAGAAAGUCCGAUGACAUGGAGAAUCACCCCCAUCUCAAGGACUUGCAAGCGCUCGGUCCCUUAGAGGUCUUCCGCGCCGACCUGGAGGACGAGGGUAGCUUCGAUGAGGCCGUGGCCGGCUGCGACUAUGCCUUCCUCGUCGCGGCUCCGAUGAACCUCAACGCGGAGAACCCUGAGAAAGAAGUGAUCGAGCUGGCCGUCAGCGGAACCCUUAACGCAAUGAGGUCGUGCGUGAGGGCGGGGACGGUGAAGCGCGUGAUCCUGACAUCGUCAGUGGCGGCUGUCGCCGGCCGGCCUCUGCCACUAGGAGACAGCCAUGUCCUGGAUGAGGAGUCCUGGAGCGACGUUGAGUACCUCAGAGUUACCAAGGCCGGCGGCUGGGCCUACAAUGUCUCAAAGGUGCUUAUGGAAAAGGCGGUGCGGACUUUCGCGCAGGACAGCGGCAUCAGCCUUGUUACGGUGUGCCCCGCCUUCACGGUUGGCGAGGCGCCGGCGACGAUUGUCCACACCAGCGUCCCCGUUAUCCUUUCUUUGCUGACUGGUGACGACGAGAAGAUUCGCAGCCUGGAACUCGUCGACAGGGCGUCUGGCUCGAUCCCGAUGGUCCAUGUCCACGACCUCUGCCGCGCAAAGAUCUUCUUAGCCGAGGAGGAGGCUGCGUCAGGAAGAUAUAUCUGCAGCAGCCUCGACACCACCCUCGCGGAGCUAGCCACCUUCCUGGCCGCCAAGUACCCAGAGUAUAACGUCAAUACCGACAGGUUUGGUGGUCGCCCCGAGAAGUUGAGAGUCUGCAUUUCGUCGGCGAAACUCAUCGGGGAAGGGUUUGAGUUCAGGUACAAGGCGUUGGACGAAAUAUACGACGACGUCGUCAACUAUGGAAGGUCCUUGGGAAUCCUUCCGUACUAG